UGCAAUGAGAGUUGUGCUAAGGUAGCGCGAUAAUUUGUCUCUUAAUUGGAGAAUGGUAUGAAAGGUUUGUCGCAGAUUAAUUGUCUCUAAAAAAAACAAUGAAGUUUCCUUUCAAAUGAAAAGGUUUAAAUUUUUGUAAAAGACGAGAAGACCCUGUCGAGCUAAAUUAGGCAAUAGAUUCUUAGGUACAAAGUGCUGAAUCUUUAGUUAAAAAGUAGUUGGGGAGAGCUAAGCUUUAGAAAAUAGGUUUAAUAGUUAGACACAGAUCCUCUUUGAGAGAAAGUUGGCAAAAGCUACCGCAGGGAUAACAGCGUAAUUUUUCUUGAGAGAUCGUAUUGAGGGAAAAGUUUGCGACCUCGAUGUUGGAUUAUA
rnacentral:rRNA from 1 species